UACAGAGGGUGCGAGCGUUGUCCGGAAUCAAUGGGCGUAAAGGGCGCGUAGGCGGCUUGGUAAGUAGGGGGUGAAAUCCCACGGCUCAACCGUGGGGCUGCCUUCUAGACUGCCGAGCUUGAGCACAGUAGAGGCUGGUGGAAUUCCCGGUGUAGCGGUGGAAUGCGUAGAGAUCGGGAAGAACAUCUGUGGCGAAGGCGGCCAGCUGGGCUGUUGCUGACGCUGAUGCGCGACAGCGUGGGGAGCAAACAGG
rnacentral:rRNA from 1 species